AUUGAACGCUGGCGGCAUGCCUUACACAUGCAAGUCGAACGGCAGCACGGGAGCAAUCCUGGUGGCGAGUGGCGAACGGGUGAGUAAUAUAUCGGAACGUGCCCAGUAGUGGGGGAUAACUGCUCGAGAGAGCAGCUAAUACCGCAUACGACCUGAGGGUGAAAGGGGGGGAUCGCAAGACCUCUCGCUAUUGGAGCGGCCGAUAUCAGAUUAGCUAGUUGGUGGGGUAAAGGCCUACCAAGGCAACGAUCUGUAGUUGGUCUGAGAGGACGACCAGCCACACUGGGACUGAGACACGGCCCAGACUCCUACGGGAGGCAGCAGUGGGGGAAUUUUGGACAAUGGGCGCAAGCCUGAUCCAGCAAUGCCGCGUGCAGGAAGAAGGCCUUCGGGUUGUAAACUAGCGUUUUCUUGUCUCCAAGAAACCU
rnacentral:rRNA from 1 species